CCACAGAAUUCUCACAGUGAUGG
rnacentral:miRNA from 1 species